UGCAGAGUGACUACCUACAUAAUGUAGGUAGGUAAUGCAACCACAAGACGGUCACAAGUCCGU
rnacentral:ribozyme from 1 species